GAUGAACGCUGACAGAAUGCUUAACACAUGCAAGUCAACUGUGGCGGACGGGUGAGUAACGCGUAAAGAACUUGCCUCACAGCUAGGGACAACAUUUGGAAACGAAUGCUAAUACAUGAUACUGUGAGAGAGCUUUGCGUCACAUUAGCUAGUGGGAGAGGUAACGGCUCACCAAGGCGAGGAUGGGUAGCCGGCCUGAGAGGGUGAUCGGCCACAAGGGGAUGGGGACACGGCCCUUACUCAUAAGUGAGGCAGGAGUGGGGAAUUUUUGACAAUGGACCAAAGUCUGAUCCAGCCAUUCUGUGUGCACGAUGAAUUUUUCGGAAUGUAAAGUGCUUUCAUUUGGGAAGCGGUACCAACAGAAGAAGUGACGGCUAAAUACGUGCCAGCAGCCGCGGUAAUAC
rnacentral:rRNA from 1 species